AACGAACGCUGGCGGCAUGCCUAACACAUGCAAGUCGAACGAGACCUUCGGGUCUAGUGGCGCACGGGUGCGUAACGCGUGGGAACCUGCCCUUAGGUUCGGAAUAACUCCCCGAAAGGGGUGCUAAUACCGGAUAAUGUCUUCGGACCAAAGAUUUAUCGCCUUUGGAUGGGCCCGCGUUGGAUUAGCUAGUUGGUAGGGUAAAAGCCUACCAAGGCGACGAUCCAUAGCUGGUCUGAGAGGAUGAUCAGCCACACUGGGACUGAGACACGGCCCAGACUCCUCCGGAAGGAGGCAGUGGGGAUUAUUGGACAAGGGGCGAAAGCCUGAUCCAGCAUGGCCGCGUGAGUGAUGAGGGCCUUGGGGUGGUAAGCUCUUUUACCCGGGAUGAUAAUGACAGUACCGGGAGAAUAAGCUCCGGCUAACUCCGUG
rnacentral:rRNA from 1 species